rnacentral:rRNA from 1 species
GACGAACGCUGGCGACGUGCUUAACACAUGCAAGUCGAACGAAAAGACGGAAAGAGCUUGCUCUUUCCGGAAUUGAGUGGCAAACGGGUGAGUAACACGUAAACAACCUGCCUUCAGGAUGGGGACAACAGACGGAAACGACUGCUAAUACCGAAUAAGUUCCAAGAGCCGCAUGGCCCAUGGAAGAAAAGGUGGCCUCUACCUGUAAGCUAUCGCCUGAAGAGGGGUUUGCGUCUGAUUAGCUGGUUGGAGGGGUAACGGCCCACCAAGGCGACGAUCAGUAGCCGGUCUGAGAGGAUGAACGGCCACACUGGAACUGAGACACGGUCCAGACUCCUACGGGAGGCAGCAGUGGGGAAUCUUCCGCAAUGGGCGAAAGCCUGACGGAGCAACGCCGCGUGAGUGAUGACGGCCUUCGGGUUGUAAAACUCUGUGAUCCGGGACGAAAAGGCAGAGUGCGAAGAACAAACUGCAUUGACGGUACCGGAAAAGCAAGCCACGGCUAACUACGUGCCAGCAGCCGCGGUAAUACGUAGGUGGCAAGCGUUGUCCGGAAUUAUUGGGCGUAAAGCGCGCGCAGGCGGCUUCCCAAGUCCCUCUUAAAAGUGCGGGGCUUAACCCCGUGAUGGGAAGGAAACUGGGAAGCUGGAGUAUCGGAGAGGAAAGUGGAAUUCCUAGUGUAGCGGUGAAAUGCGUAGAGAUUAGGAAGAACACCGGUGGCGAAGGCGACUUUCUGGACGAAAACUGACGCUGAGGCGCGAAAGCGUGGGGAGCAAACAGG